GCUCCCGGCUCCUGCGCCGAGCGGCGCGCGGACCUCUCCCCACCCCCGUUUGUUAAUUGCAGGCCUGGGGCCGCCGGCAAGUUUGGGAGCGGAAGUCACCUGAAACUCGAGACAUCUUAAGGAAGAGGGCAAUCUUCAGAGCACCGCCUGCGUGCAGCUUCCCUCAGCUCCUUCAUAAGCUGUGAGGACCUGCAGGGAUGAAGAGACUCCACUAGGUGGCGACCCAAGACCUCGUUUGUUUCUGUAGGGAAGGAUCUGGUGGCGAAGAGAACAGACCCUCCCCAGCCACUUGUGGAGGGGUGUGUGUGUGUGUGUGUGUGUCUGAGUUUGGGGGGGUGCCCAGAGGGGAGAAUGGGGAGACGAAGACAGACAUUUAAGAAAAACCAACAUCAAAAUACCUAAAUUUAUAAAACAGGUAGGUAGAAGGUUAUUUUUCUUAAUGCCUAUUAAUGGAAGGAACUCAGAGCUAAUAAGGAGAAACCCCUUAACACCUUUAUUCAUUUUUAGAUCAUCAGUUAUUUAGUACAGAAAGUGUUAGCCUGCUACCAUUUCUGCCUACUGAAAAUGAACCAGAAAUGGGGACGUUGCAUGAGAUCUGCACUCCUCCAAGAAUCGGACUCAGACAUUCAUUUUCACUCAUAAUCAGAAAUUUAAUGAGAGCCUACUAUGUGUCUCAUCCUGAGCUAGGUGCUGAGGACAGAGCCAUGAACAAGACUGACAAGACCCCUGUACUCUCAUGGAACUUAGGUUUUUGAAAAAUGCGUCCACAUAGAAAAGAUUGCAUGCGAUUUCUCCAGGUCUUUUAUGCUCUGAUUCCAUGACUCUGCCCUUCCUUUGCCCAGCCCUUACAUGUAGAAGUAGGGGACAAUAAGAUCUAGUUAAUCUACCUAAAUUAGAUGCACACAUGUUUUCUGGAAUAAGAUUACAAUAUAAUGUCCAGUACUUGGUCAUUGUGCCAUCAGGAGUUCCAUGAAGAAAGAAUGCUGUGGAAUUUCCAAACCUCUCUUUUUUAUCCAUCACCCCCUUUUAAGUAAUCUGCCAGAGCCAGGACACACCAUCUGAGAUGUGGACCACUCCUGGGGCAGAAUGAGCAGUGGGCACGCUGAAGACCAGAGACUGACAUACUCACUUGGAAAAUAAGAAAGAAAAGUGUUCCAAAAUCCAAGAUACCAAGAAGAUUGUGGAAAAACUCAGGAUAGGAAGGUGUGGCAUUUUUAAGCACUGCCAAAUUUAUUUCUCCAACCAAGUCAAACAUGACACAGUGGAAGCUAGCUUCCAGACUCCCCAUGUGGGAAAGUAUAAAUUCUAGACUCAGUGUGGAAAUCACGCUCAGGUCUGGGAGUUGUCUGGCUUGAUCUCCUGGAGGGCGGGGUAUGCUUUGCAUGCGUGUGUGUGUGCAUGAGCACAUGUGAGAGCUAGUUAGAGGAAAGGCUGUUCCUGUGGAAUCAGAGCAGCAGAGCUGGAAGAGCUCAUUUAAUCCAUUUUCUCAUUUUAGAGAUGCAGAAAUGCAUCUCCACAAAUGGGAGGAUCUUGCCCAAGUGACAGAAUCACUAUUAUUGACAGAACGAAGACUAUAACCCAAUAUCUUGACUCCCAGUUCACAACUCCAGUCUACUUUAUCUGUUCCACAAGUGCUAUAGAGGUGUUGGUUGCCUUUGUUAUUUGGAUUCACUUGAUUUUCCUUUACAUGUUGUAUUGGUUAAAUGAUGGUCUCCCUCCUCCCCCAAAAGAUAUGUCGACCUAUAACCUGUGAAUGUGAACUUAUUUGGAGAAAAAAAAAAGUCUUUGCAGAUGUAAUUAAGUUAAGGAUUUUGAGAUGAGAUUAUCCUUAAUUAGGGUGCACCCUGAAUCCAGUGACAAGUGUCUUUAUAGACAUUUAGGGGAGAAGACACACAGAGAAGGUGCUGUGAAGACAGAGGCAGAGAUUGGAGUGAUGCGUCUAUGAGCCAAGGAAUGCCGAGGAUUGCCAGUAGCCACUAGAAGCUGGGAGAGGGGCAUGGAAUGGAUUCUCCCUCAGAGCUCCCAGGGGGAACCAACUUUACUAACACCUUGAUUUUGGACUUCCGACCUCCAGAACUGUGAGAGAAGAUGUUUCUGUUGUUUUAAGCCAUGAAGUUGGGUGUAAUUUGUUACAGCAGAUGUAGAAAACUAAAAUCCAUGUAUUUCUCAGUUCCCUUUACUGCCUUUGUGCUGGGAAAGGAGUUCUUUUAGCACAGUAACACAUCCCAGUUAUGAGAGGCCAUCAGUAUAGGCAGGAGAAAGAUUGCUCAGGGAAUCUUGGGAGAAUCUGAAAAUGUUAGACUCUAAGGAGCCACUAACUGAAACCAGCCCAGACACAUCCUCAAGAAGGGCUUCUCAGAUGCCCCGAAGCUGUCUCCAGUACGCACAAAAGGAGAGCCAAUGGGAAAAGAAAACAAUAGGUUUUCCCCAUCCUAGAUGCUGAGGGUGGUCAUGACUGGCUUUCAUUCGAAUUGUGUUCUCUCUGGUAAUAGCCUAUAUCAAUGUCUCUCUCCAGCUGUGGGGAGCUUGGCUUAUCCACCAGCAUUACGGACUGAAUGUCUCUGCCCCCCCAAAAUUCAUAUGUUGAAACCCUAAUCCCCAACAUGAUGGUAUUAGGAGAUGGGGCCUUUGGGAAGUAAUUAGGUUUAGACCAGAUCAUGAGGGUAGAGCCCCAUGAUGGGGUUAGUGUCCUUAUAAGAAGAGAAAGAGACCUACGUCGACUUUCUCUCUGUCAUGUGAGGGCACAGCAAGAGAGCAGCCAUCAGAAAGCAAGAGACUCUCACGAGAACCCAACCAUGCUGGCACCCUGAUUUUGGACUGUGAGAAAUAUAUGUCUGUUUUUUGAGCCA